CAGGCCUCAAGCCGACGCCUCCAUUCGUAUUUCAUUUUGGCUGGAAAUGUGUUUAACAAUGGCCUACAACAAUUUAUGUAGGUCGAAGAAGGUGGAAAGAAAAGUAUAAUACCCGACAU